rnacentral:rRNA from 1 species
CCUUCGGGAUUAGUGGCGGACGGGUGAGUAACACGUGGGAACGUGCCUUUUGGUUCGGAACAACUCAGGGAAACUUGAGCUAAUACCGAAUGUGCCCUUCGGGGGAAAGAUUUAUCGCCAUUAGAGCGGCCCGCGUCUGAUUAGCUAGUUGGUAGGGUAAAGGCCUACCAAGGCUACGAUCAGUAGCUGGUCUGAGAGGAUGAUCAGCCACACUGGGACUGAGACACGGCCCAG